rnacentral:rRNA from 1 species
AUUGAACGCUGGCGGCAGGCCUAACACAUGCAAGUCGAACGAGUGGCGGACGGGUGAGUAAUGUCUGGGAAACUGCCUGAUGGAGGGGGAUAACUACUGUAAACGGUAGCUAAUCCCGCAUACCAUCAGAUGUGCCCAGAUGGGAUUAGCUUGUUGGUGGGGUAACGGCUCACCAAGGCGACGAUCCCUAUCUGGUCUGAGAGGAUGACCGGCCAUACUGGAAGUGAGACACGGUCCAGACUCCUACGGGAGGCAGCAGUGGGGAAUAUUGAACAAUGGGGGCAAGCCUGAUGAAGCCAGGCCGCGUGUAUGAAGAAGGCCUUCGGGUUGUAAAGUACUUGCAGCGGGGAGGCGUUACCCGAAGAAGAAGCACCGGCUAACUCCGGGCCAGCCGCCGCGGUAAUUC